CCCUUAGAUGUCCUGGGCUGCACGCGCGUUACACUGAUGUGUCCAGUAAGCACCUAACCUCUUCCGAAAGGAACGGGUAACCUUUGCAAAGCACAUCGUGAUGGGGAUAGAUUAUUGCAAUUAUUAGUCUUGAACGAGGAAUUCCUAGUAAGCACAAGUCAUCAGCUUGUGUUGAUUACGUCCCUGCCCUUUGUACACACCGCCCGUCGCUCCUACCGAUUGAAUGUUCCGGUGAGCUCUUCGGACUGCGCGGUCUGCAGUUUCUGCGUUCCGUGCGGAAAGUUGCGCAAACCUUAACAUUUAGAGGAAGGAGAAGUCGUAACA
rnacentral:rRNA from 1 species